UAAAGUGCAAGUGUUUUAAUGUUUAUGUAAAUUAUGCAGGUGAUAACAUGGUUUGGAACUGUUUAUUGGGCUCUUUAACUGAAUUUUCAAAUGAAAUGAACUAUGCUUAUUGCUGGCACAUUGAUCCCGUUUCUGGAACAUUUUUCCUAUUUCCAGAGUUACAUAUGUUCUUUUGUCAUUACCCAAUUUAACCUCCCUUUCUCUGAUAUGCCUUGUAGCCAAAGUAUUAAAGGCUGAUGAACAUAGACAAGGGAAAUGCAUUUCUUAGAAAUCCGUGAACCCUGUAUGCUUUCAGUACUCGUGUUAAUAUGUUUCUAUGGCAACUCUGAGGUCAGUGGUUUAGAAAUGAGAUACCAAUGUUAAUGAAAAGUGUGUGCUCUUUGCUUUUGCAUGGCUUGGCUUAGUAUCCAAGGUAUAUUAAGGCCACUUGAAAGCAUGAAGACCAGUUAUAUAGGGAACAGGUUUCUCUCAGUGGCACAUUCUGCUUUUUCUGACCCCAAAUACAUUGCCUGGGCAUGAACAUUGUUACCGUAAAUUGCACAUGGUCGUGGACUGAAUUAUGUGACUUUAAAGGAUGUAACUGCCCAACAUUUGCAGAUUCUGGGUGGUCUAUGUGACCAUUUGGCUCGUAUCCAAAAACCCCGGGGCUAUUGGAACCCUUCCAACACUUUUUCCUUUGUCAUAGACAAGUGUAUAUAUAACUUACCAAGAUGUUGGCUGUCCUGGUAUAUUGCCAGACAGCUCUCUUUUGGUUCCCAUUCCAAAUGUGCUGCUGUCCUUCUUUGCAUUUCACAAUAUCAAAGAAACCACCACCCUUCUUCCUAACAGCAUUUUAUGCCUUUUAUUCCACAUUAAAUGGGAAUUGUGCCUACUUAGGAGUGCCCCUCCAAUUAAUUACAUGUGUCCAAGAAUAAUCCAAGCCAGAGACACAGGUGGGAAAACAUUUAAAAAAAAAAAAAGAAGUCCUCUUAAGGCCAGUAAUUUAUCUGAAAAGGUAUUUUAUCACACCUUGACACCUUAUAUAUGAGCCUAUUAGGAGCUGCAGGUGGUUUCAUAGGGUAAAAUCCAAGAAAAGAGAAGGAUGUGUGGGGUUUCUAUUAGAAGAUAAUUUUAUUCUCAUUUUACCUGUUCUUUUAUGAUCCUUCUCUGCUAGAACAGGUUAAUUCUCCAAAUUUGUUUUGUUUUGUUUGUUUUAUUUUUUAGGGAAAAUUUUGCAAAAGCAAUGGUCGGAUGUAAAUAACAUUUAAAGUAUAGUGCACAUAACUUCCCCGAACUGUUCCAAUCUGAUAAUUUGUAAAUGCUUUAGAGUUUUUUAAAUUAACACUUGUGUUGCUAAAUCCUAUUUAUGUAAGUCUGCUAAAGUUUUUUAGCCCACUUAAAACUUAAGACAACCAUUUAAAUAAUGGAUGGGUUACUAUGAGCAAUUUAGCUUUCAGAACCCCCUUGUUUUAGUAUAUGAAAAAGCCUAAUGCGCAUUAAUGAGGUUGAAGAGACUAUGAGAAAUAUGUAUAGUGUAUAUUUUAAAACAGCUUUGCUUGUAUUGUGAAGAUUUAAGAACAAACUUGAGAUUUUUAACGUAACUAUUAACACAGUUUUAACAUAAGUUAUCCCACUGGGUUUAAGAGCAUCUUGAAUGUAUAAUCCUUUUUGUAACCCAGGUUGGUUUCUACUUUUACCAGUCACCCAAACAUAUUUAUGUUUUUAGUUUUAUGUACUCAUUUCCCUUUGUUUUCCUCAAACAGCAUGAUUUUUUUGCACAUGUAGAAAUUUUUUAAAAGAAAUAAAUUAGUACAUCAUUUUCUCUGGAUUUUCUUCACUUCCCUCUUCCUUUCUACUAACCCCUUCCUUAAAGGCCAUAUCACUCCAUUUGCAUUAUUUGUGCAAAUGCCAGGGUUGGUUUUUAUUUUUAUUUUUGCUAUUUACCUAAAAAAAGAAAAUGCUUCAGUCAAUUGCUUUUUUACUUAAAAAAAAAAGAAAAGAAAAAAAGCUGUAACCUUAUCAUUUCUGAGUAGACCAUUGAGCGAUGAAUGCACACCUGUAAUAGCCCAGGACCAGCUGUGGUGGCUAAAGGGAAUAUGUUAAUUAAGUAAGAGGUUCUUUUCUAAAAGUGGUAUCUGUCUGUUAUCCACAGUGUAUUUCAGUUAUUCCCACAAGUCAGGGGUCCAGAUAAAAUGAGGGUUAUCAGCUAACUGAUAAUGCUAUCAUUGAGGUUCAUCAAUGAAUUUGUACAUUUCUAGUUCCCUUUGGUGAAGGGAAAAAUGAUGAUUUUGCAAGACCUAGAUUUUGGCUUGGUUUCUUGCCUCCUUUUUUGGCAGCCUUCAUCUUCUCAUCUCCCAAACCCCCUGAGCCUGUAGGGUUUUCAUAGUGGACAAAGAACUUGUGGUCUUUUAAAACUGGGACUGAUACUUUUUUGAGAGAGUAUCGUGUCGAAAGUGUGAUGUUCUACCACUUUACCAAUAACUAAUUUUAAAUACACAUUGUCCUCUCGAUUUUUGGACCAAACGCUCACAGUGGAGGCUUAUCAAGGGUUGCAUUGGGGAAGAAGCCUCUCCCUCUCUGUCAGCACCAGCUGGUAAAGGUGACUGUACAGAUGUGCAUUUUCCUUUUGGUAUAAAUGGUCCACAGCACUAACUGGUAAGGCUUAUUGUACAGUAUAUUGUCAGUAUUCUUCUGGUUCAGCAUACCUUAUAGUUCAUAUAUAACCUGUAUUAAUUGUAUAGAUUGUGCAUUUAAAGCUGUUACCAAGUUGUCAGAACAUAAGAGCGAAAACAAGGUCAUAUGUAAUAUUUUGUUUGUAAGUAUCCUUUGUAUCAUAGCAAAGGAAAUGUUUAAAAAAAUCAACUGUAAUAAAGUAAUUUUAGU
rnacentral:lncRNA from 1 species